AACGAACGCUGGCGGCAUGCCUAACACAUGCAAGUCGAACGAGACCUUCGGGUCUAGUGGCGCACGGGUGCGUAACGCGUGGGAACCUGCCCUUAGGUUCGGAAUAACUCCCCGAAAGGGGUUCUAAUACCGGAUAAUGUCUUCGGACCAAGGAUUUAUCGCCUUUGGAUGGGCCCGCGUUGGAUUAGCUAGUUGGUAGGGUAAAAGCCUACCAAGGCGACGAUCCAUAGCUGGUCUGAGAGGAUGAUCAGCCACACUGGGACUGAGACACGGCCCAGACUCCUACGGGAGGCAGCAGUGGGGAAUAUUGGACAAUGGGCGAAAGCCUGAUCCAGCAAUGCCGCGUGAGUGAUGAAGGCCUUAGGGUUGUAAAGCUCUUUUACCCGGGAUGAUAAUGACAGUACCAGGAGAAUAAGCUCCGGCUAACUCCGUG
rnacentral:rRNA from 1 species